UACAGAGGGGGCAAGCGUUGCUCGGAAUCACUGGGCGUAAAGCGCACGUAGGCGGCUUUUUAAGUCAGGGGUGAAAUCCUGGAGCUCAACUCCAGAACUGCCUUUGAUACUGAGGAUCUUGAGUACGGGAGAGGUGAGUGGAACUGCGAGUGUAGAGGUGAAAUUCGUAGAUAUUCGCAAGAACACCAGUGGCGAAGGCGGCUCACUGGCCCGUAACUGACGCUGAGGCACGAAAGCGUGGGGAGCAAACAGG
rnacentral:rRNA from 1 species